AUGCCUCAAGCCAAAAGGAGGAAGGAGAGGUGGCAUCUCCAGACCUGGCCGAGGCAAACCCCAGUGGAAAACCCCUACCACCAAAAGGAGGAAGUGGAGUUGGCAUCUACAGACCAGGCCGAGGCUAUCCCCAGGGUGUGUGGAGAUCCACCCCCACUGGAAGGGCCAGAUGCCAUCGUGCCUAUCCUCAAGGAUGAUGGGUCCUACAUGCUCUGUGGAUACUGGGCAGAUGAACCUGAAGCACCAGCCCAGGCCUGGGCUAGGGCCUGGCACUUUACAACCCAGCAACCCCUCUGCUGUGCUGAGGCCAUUGUGGUGGAAGACUCCUCAAACAAAAAGGAGAAAGUCAAGGGGGCAUCCUCAGAUCAGGCUGAGGCUAUGUCCAGGGUGGGUGAAGAUCCACCCCCACUGGAAGGGCCAGAUGUCAUCACACCUAUCCUCAAGGAUGAUGGGUCCUACAUGCUCUGUGGAUUUUGGGCAGAUGAUCCUGAAGCACCAGUCCAGGCCUGUGCUGAGCCCUGGUACCUUACAACCCAGAAGCCCAUUUGCUGUGCUGAAGCCAUUGCGGUGGAAGAGCCUUCCUGCAAAAAGGAGGAAGGGGACUCAGCAUCUGCAGAGCAGGCCGAGGCUAUACCCAGGGUGUGUGGAGAUCCACCCCCACUGGAAGGGCCAGAUGCCAUCGUGCCUAUCCUCAAGGAAGAUGGAUCCUACCUGCUCUGUGGAUAUUGGGCUGAUGAGCCUGAAGCACCAGUCCAGGCCUGGGCUGGGGCCUGGCACUUUACAACCCAGCAGCCCAUCUGCAGUGCUGAGGACACUUUGGUGGAAGAGCCCUCAUUUCAAGAGGAGGAAGGUGUGGUGGCACCUGCAGACCAGGCUGAGGCUAAUCAGAGCCUCUGCUCUGCAUCACACCUCGGGGUGUGUGAAGAUCCACCCCCACUGGAAGGGCCAGAUGUCAUUGUGCCUAUUCUCAAGGAUGAUGGGUCCUACAUGCUCUGUGCAAUUUGGAUGGAUGAUCCUGAAGCACCAGUCCAGGCCUGGGCUGGAGCCUGGCACCCUACAACCCAGCAGCCCAUCUGCUGUGCUGAGGCCAUUGUGGUGAAAGAUGCCACCUACCAAAAAGAGAAAGUCAUGUUGGCAACUGCUGAUUGGGCUGAGGCUACCUCCAGGGUGAGUGGAGAUCCACCCCCACUGGAAGGGCCAGAUGCCAUCGUGCCCAUCCUCAAGGAUGAUGGGUCCUACAUGCUCUGUGCAUAUUGGGCUGAUGAGCCUGAAGCCCCAGUCCAGGCCUGGGCUGGGGCCCUGCACCCUAUAAUCCAGCAGCCCAUCUGCUGUGCGGAGGCCAUUGUGGUGGAAGAUGCCUCCAGCCAGAAGGAGAAAAUAGAGGUGGCAUUUGCAGAGCAGACUGAGGCCACACCCAGGGUGGGUGAAGAUCCACCCCCACUGGAAGGGCCAGAUGUCAUCGUGCCUAUCCUCAAGGAUGACGGAUCCUACCUGCUCUGUGCAUAUUGGGCAGAUGAGCCUGAAGCCCCAGUCCAGGCCUGGGCUGGGGCCCUGCACCCUACAGCCCAGCAGCCCACCUGCUGUGCUGAGGCCAUUCUCGUGGAAGAGCCCUCAUCACAAGAGGAGGAAGGGAAAGUGGCACGUGCAGACCAGGCCGAGGCUAAUCAGAGGGUGUGUGGAGAUCCACCCCCACUGGAAGGGCCAGAUGUCAUUGUGCCUAUCCUCAAGGAUGAUGGUUCCUAUGUGCUCUGUGCAUAUUGGGCAGAUGAGCCUGAAGCACCAGCCCAGGUCUGGGCUGAGGCCUGGCAUGCAAAAACCCAGCAGUCCAUCUGCUGUGCUGAGGCUUUUUGGGUGCUAAGAACUUCCUCUGGUGGAUACCAUGAAACCUGA
rnacentral:lncRNA from 1 species